UAUAUACUCCCCCCGUCCCAAAAUUCUUGUCUUAGAUUUGGCUAAAUACGGAUGUAUCUAGUUACGUUUUAGUGUUAGAUACAUCAGUAUCUAGACAAAUCUAAGACAAGAAUUUUGGGACGAAGUAUGUU
rfam:Triticum urartu cultivar G1812 contig896491, whole genome shotgun sequence.